AAGAAAAUAAUUUUCCCUAGAAGAAGACGGAAUUCUUCUCCAAAUUGGCGAUUAAAUCCUCAAAACGGCGACGAAGAACAAGUGGAAUUGAUUCCAGCCAUCGGAAGAGAUUUCUAGCGUCUGUUGUCUCCAUUGCUGUUCAGUUCUAUUCAGUCGACGGCGGCGGCGGCGGCAGCGAUUUCUUGAUUGUUCAGUUGUUUGAAUGCUAUCAUCGAUCAAUCAACAGAUACCCUUUGUAUGAUAUAGCCUGAAUCCUUGGUUGGUCGUUCUUCUUCUUCUACUUUGUAUCCGAUUAUAUUAUGUUAUUAAAUUCCCGAUAGGAACUGAUUUCAUUGAUAUAUGGCAACGGCGAUUUUACAAUAUGUGCAAAAUUUAUGGCCUUUAUCGGUAUUCAAAUACAAUGAUUUGAGGGUAUCUGAUAGACUUGUCAAUAAACUAUCUGUGCCUGAGAACACAAAACAAUUCAUUGUUGCUUUUCGUGAACCGAAUUCACAGUCGGUAGUAUAUGUAUUGUGUGUUCAGAAUUUAUCAGAGAGAUCUGCUUUGGAUGUUGAGUAUCUUAUUAGAGAAGUUCGACCUGAUGCUGUAGUUGUUCAAGUGGGUCAGGGGGCAUCUUAUGAGAUUGAAGCUGAAGAAACAGAAUCUAAAGAUAAAUUGAAUGAGCCUGUUCCAACUUCGUCUUUUGAAGUUGUUAGAAGGUGCUUUACUGACAAGAUAAAUAAGGAGAGAUAUGAAAAUGAGGCUGGAAGUUUUGUGUUAAGAAAGAUUUUUGGAGUUGGUCUUCAUGGAAAUUGUUUGGCCGCUAAGAAGGUGGCUAAGGAAGUUGGCGCAUCCUUCUUCUUACUGGAAUCUCAAUCUAAUUGUGGUGGUGAUAGCAAUCCUAGUGAAGAAACCGAGUCGGAGAGCACAUACAAAAGUUUGGUUUUAAGUUCGAGUAGUUUGGCUCCUUUGAAGGCAAGUACAGUUGUUCAAGCUACCACAAGGAAACUUCUGCUUAACAAUGAUAGUCAGUUACAGAUGGUCAGGACCUUGUCAUCUUAUUUGACCAUCCCCAGUUCUGUUUCAGAGAAAGGUUCUGAAAAUUUUCAGCCAAUAGUAGACUAUGAGGCCCCAUCAUUUGCACAGACAAUUUAUCCUUUACUUGAAGAUUUACACAAUAUAUUUACAGACAUUCCAUCCAUUGACAGGGCUUUAGCAUGUGCUCAAGAGAUGUUUUUUAAGGUGAACAAUGGAGAAAAUGUGGAGGGGAAACUUCUAUCCGAUGUUCACUUAUUUCGGAUUGCAGUAGAGGGACUCAGAAUAGCUUUGAACAGUGCAGGUCGACAACCUAUUAACAAUACAGAGAAAUUAAAUUCAUCCAAGGAAGAUUUCUCGGAGCUUGAAGCUGAAGAAAAGUCAAAUGUGCUUCUUGCAGAGGCCAUAAAAAGCCAAACCAAAAAGUUCAACUCCAUAGUCGCAAUAGUUGAUGCUAGUACCUUGGUUGGUCUGAGGAAACACUGGAAUACUCGUGUCCCAUUUGAGAUAAAAGAAAUGGUAGAAGACAUUGUUAUUAGCUGCGAAGUUGACGAAGAAGGCUUGAGCAACAAUGAAAAAAAGCAUUUAUUGUCUAAUAAGCCAAUGGUAGCAGUUGGUGCAGGAGCCUCAGCUAUCAUAGGAGCUUCAUCCCUCUCCAAAGUCGCUCCUGUAUCAAGCUUCAUGAAAGUUAUUACAUUAAAAGUUCCUGUUUCUCUUAAAAUUGGUUUUGCGCAGACACAUAAGACUAUUAUUGCUGCCAUUAGCAAGACUUUGGGUACAUCCAAAGUGGUAGCCCCUGGAUUUACUGGUUCUGGAGCCAAAACAUCUACAUUAAAGGCAGUUUCUUCUGCUAGAAGAAUACGAGAUGUGACUCACUCUCUUAUAGCAUAUUCACAGAAGACCAGUCUUUCGGCCAUGAGGGCCUCGUUUUAUGAAAUAAUGAGGAAACGACAGGUUCGACCAAUUGGCUUUAUGCCGUGGGCUACAUUAGGAUGUAGUGUUGCCACUUGUGCAAGUCUUCUUGCCUAUGGAGAUGGAAUUGAAUGUGUUGCUGAGUCACUACCAUUUGCACCCUCAAUUGCUACUCUUGGUCGUGGAAUCCAAAGUCUAGACCAAGCUUCCCAGACAGUGAAGCAAGCAGACAAUUCAAGGAUACAGAACUAUAUAGACUCCCUGAUGGACAAAUUUAAAAAAGUGAAACCGAAGGUCCAAUGAAGAGCGAAACCUGAUGUGAUAUCAAAACUUGGUCAUUUUGACGUAAGCCUACCUACCACGUGACGAUGUUGUGGAGUUGAGAAUGAAUUGGCUAAAAGAUGAUAUGCUUCGAUGCUAAGUACAACAGCUUUAUGAUCCAGGGAAGAUGCUAUUUUGAGCUUCUCACUAUUCAUAAUGGGGUUGGUUUUCUUUUUUUUUAUUAGUAUUUUGUACAUAAAAUCAUUUAAUUAUGAUAUGAUCCAUUUCUUUGCAUUUAAGGGGGAUUGGAAAAAAGUCUUGGCAGUUGAAGAAAAAAGGCCCUUAUAAUUGGUUGUAACAUGAGAAGAGAUUUUAAUGCCAUUUUUUGUUGUUGCCCGAGCUUAUGAUUUUCCGACCCUCAUUUGUUCAAGUGUAUAUAACCUUUCCGAGUGGGGCCUCUUAGAGUUUGUAAUAAAUUGGACAUGGUUGAGUUGUUAUGUGGCUUUUUAUGUGCAGAUAAUAUGAACAUUGUUAGUAUUAUGUUUGCUAUUGAUUCUCGAAGUAGGUUUAACACAACUUG